GCAGUAGCCGCGGUAAUACGGAGGGGGCUAGCGUUGUUCGGAAUUACUGGGCGUAAAGCGUGCGUAGGCGGUUUGUUAAGUCUGUUGUGAAAUCCCCGGGCUCAACCUGGGAAUGGCAAUGGAUACUGGCAAGCUAGAGUGUGUCAGAGGAUGGUGGAAUUCCCGGUGUAGCGGUGAAAUGCGUAGAGAUCGGGAGGAACAUCAGUGGCGAAGGCGGCCAUCUGGGACAACACUGACGCUGAGGCACGAAAGCGUGGGGAGCAAACAGGAUUAGAUACCCGUGUAGUCCCUGUCUCUUAUA
rnacentral:rRNA from 1 species